AGCGGCGGACGGUGAGUAACGCGUGGGUAACCUACCUCAUACAGGGGGAUAACAGUUGGAAACGGCUGCUAAUACCGCAUAAGCGCACAGUACCGCAUGGUACCGUGUGAAAAACUCCGGUGGUAUGAGAUGGACCCGCGUCUGAUUAGCUAGUUGGUGGGGUAACGGCCUACCAAGGCGACGAUCAGUAGCCGACCUGAGAGGGUGACCGGCCACAUUGGGACUGAGACACGGCCCAA
rnacentral:rRNA from 1 species